CGGAUUNAAGGCUGAAAUUCGCCUUCAUGAAGCUGGAAUUGCUAGUAAUGGCAGGUCAGCAUACUGCCGUGAAUACGUUCCCGGGCCUUGUACACACCGCCCGUCACACCAUGAGAGUUGGGAAUACCCGAAGCCUGUGAGCUAACUUAUAGAGGCAGCAGUCGAAGGUAGAAUCAAUGAUUGGGGUGAAGUCGUAACAAGGUACC
rnacentral:rRNA from 1 species